GUGGGGAAUAUUGGACAAUGGGCGAAAGCCUGAUCCAGCCAUGCCGCGUGUGUGAAGAAGGUCUUCGGAUUGUAAAGCACUUUAAGUUGGGAGGAAGGGCAUUAACCUAAUACGUUAGUGUUUUGACGUUACCAACAGAAUAAGCACCGGCUAACUUCGUGCCAGCAGCCGCGGUAAUACGAAGGGUGCAAGCGUUAAUCGGAAUUACUGGGCGUAAAGCGCGCGUAGGUGGUUCAGCAAGUUGAAGGUGAAAUCCCCGGGCUCAACCUGGGAACUGCCUCCAAAACUACUGAGCUAGAGUACGGUAGAGGGUAGUGGAAUUUCCUGUGUAGCGGUGAAAUGCGUAGAUAUAGGAAGGAACACCAGUGGCGAAGGCGACUACCUGGACUGAUACUGACACUGAGGUGCGAAAGCGUGGGGAGCAAACAGGAUUAGAAACCCUAGUAGUCC
rnacentral:rRNA from 1 species